rnacentral:rRNA from 1 species
AGAGUUUGAUCCUGGCUCCGAAUGAACGUUGGUGGUUAGCCUAACACAUGCAAGUCAAACAAGUUUGUUUUAAGUAUAAACUAGUGGCGAACGGGUGAGUAAAACGUAGAAACUGAUCCUAAAAAUGUUACCAAAUGUAACACAUAGAUUUAAUCGUUUUAGGAAAGGUCUACGCAAGAUUAGGUAUUUGGCGUUAAAAGCUGCCAAGCCGACGAUCUUUAGUUGGUCUGUGAAGAUGAGCAACCACACUGGAACUGAGACACGGUCCAGACUUUAUUUUAAGGCAGCAGUGAGGAAUCUUGGGCAAUGGGCAAAAGCCUGACCCAGCUAAACCACGUGUGUGACGAAGGUAGACAAUUGUAAAACACUUUAUUCGGUUUAUGAUAAUGACCUACCUGUAAAAAAUCCUGGCUAAUUUCGUGCCAGCAGCCGCGGUAAAACGGAAAGGGUAAACGUUAUUCAAACUGAUUGGGCGUAAAGCAUACGUAGGUGGAAAAUCAAAUUAUUACUUAAAGCCCAAAUUUCAUUUUUGGCCAAGUAACUAAAAUAAUUUUCUAGAGUUUGAAAGAAGGUUACGGAACUUUAGAUGUAGCGGUAAAAUGCUUUGAUAUCUAAAAGAACCUCUAUGGCGUAGGCAGUAACCUAAAUCAAUACUGACACUGAGGUAUUAAAGUGUGGGUAGCAAAAGGGAUUAGAUACCCCCGUAGUCCACACUGUGAACGAUGAGUGUUCGUUUUCGAAAUGUAACCGAAAACGUAGUUAACGCAUUAGCGCUCCGCCUGGGAACUACGAUUGCAAAAUUAAAACUCAAAGGAAUUGACGGGGACCUGCACAAGCAGUGGAGCAUGUGGUUUAAAUCGACAAUACGCGCAGAACCUUACCAGUUUUUGCAUGGACAAGUUAAGUUCACAGGUGUUGCAUGGCUGUCGUCAGUCCGUGCUGUGAAGCGUUUGGUUAAUUCCAAUAAACGGACAAAACCCUUGUGUAUUUACAAUACAGACUAUCAAAGAUAUUUUGGAGGAAGGCGAGGAUGACGUCAAGUCCUUAUGACCCUAAUAAACUGGGCUACUCUCAUGUGCUACAAUGGUUUUUUCAAAAAGUAACAAAAGCGUAAGUUUAAGUGACUCUCUAAAGAAAGCCGCGUUCGGAUCGCUUUCUGAAACUCGAAAGCGUGAAGCCGGAAUUGCUAGUAAUCGUAAAUCAUAACGUUACGGUGAAUGCGUUCUCAGGUCUUGUACACACCGCCCGUCACGCUAUGGAAAUUUUUUUUGUCUGAAAACUGUGUAAAAUAGUUUACGGCAAAAGAAGGACUGGAGUGAAGUCGUAACAAGGUAGCCGUAGGGGAACCUGUGGCUGGAAAAUAA